rnacentral:rRNA from 1 species
CGGCGGACGGGUGAGUAACGCGUGGGUAACCUGCCUCAUACAGGGGGAUAACAGUUGGAAACGGCUGCUAAUACCGCAUAAGCGCACAGUACCGCAUGGUACGGUGUGAAAAACUCCGGUGGUAUGAGAUGGACCCGCGUCUGAUUAGGUAGUUGGUGGGGUAACGGCCUACCAAGCCGACGAUCAGUAGCCGACCUGAGAGGGUGACCGGUCACAUUGGGACUGAGACACGGCCCAA